rnacentral:lncRNA from 10 species
AGAAGAGACAUUGUACUCUUUUUGGGGUUAUAUUAAUGACUGGUGCAGAAAAAGAGGAGCCAGAGAUACAGGAAAGAAGGCCAGAGAUACAGGAAUGAAGACGGAACCAAAAUUGGAGUUUUGCUGCCACAAACAAAGGAAUACCAGGAGGCACUAGAUGCUGGAAGAGAAAAGAAACCAUUGUCACCCUGGAGUGUGAGCCUGCUCAUACCUUAAUUUUAGACAUCUGGUAUCUAGAGCUAUGAGAAGGAAUUUCUGUUAUUUUAAGCCAUUGACUUUGAGGCCAUUUCUUGUGGCAGCUAUAGGAAACUAACACACCAGGUUAGAAUCAACGUGGUAGUUUCUCAGUAUCCACAGGUGGUUGGUUCUAGGACCCCCGCCAAUACCAAAAUCUGAGGAUGCUCAAAACUCUAUUUAUAUAAUAUGGCAUAGUAUUUGCAUAUAACCUACACACAUCUUCUCAUAUGCUUUAAAUCACCUCUAGAUUAUCUACAAUAUGUAAUACUAUCUAAAUUGUUGUUAUACCAUAUUGUUUUUAUUCAUAUUAUUUUUUAUAGUUGUACUGUUAUUUCUUUUGUUUUGGAAUAUUUUUAUACACGGUUGAAUGUGCAGAUACAAAGGGUCAUCUGUAUUAUUCUAAAA